CCUAUAUACGUACUCGACGAAGAUGAGCUCGGCGAAAAAGGCUUGGCUCGAGUUUGUGUUAUCUACAUAUUGUCGUAACCACUACCUUCGAGUAAAACGUAUUAGUUAUCCGCGUUGGAGGUAAGAAGACGCGGUACAAAAAGAAGAAGUAUGUUGCGAAACGAUAUUGCUUUUCUACGUACAACUCGGUAAAAUAAUUCUUUGCAGUUUACUUCCGUGCAAUGUAAAGAAUAAAAAUUUUAACGAGAAAAAGAGACAGACAGAGAAAGAGAGAGAGAGAGAGAGAGAGAGGGGGAGAGAAGAGAAGAGAAAGCGAUGAGAUUGGAAAGACAGGAAGACUUUGAAUCGCGUUAGUGUGUUUAUCGCCGCUUAUAUAAUCCUAUAAAGUUACCCGAUGCGUCAUAUGCACGAGAUCGCUUCCUUCUUUACGAGCGUACGCCAUUCGCGACAGUGAUUCCCCUCUUUGAAAUCCAAGAGAGAAAGAGAGAAAGAGAGAGAGAGAGAGAGAGAGAGAGAGAGAGAGAGAGACAGAUAAAGCUGGAGAAAUGAUCUCGGAAAAGCGAAAUCAAUGUGUUUGUUCGUUUUAUUUUUGCGUAUAUUUCAUACGAUAAAACAUAGCAAAUGAGAAGCACUGACCGAUAACGUGUCUGCGAGAAGUAAUAUGUAGUUUGAUGAAGAAAGGAAGCUGAAUAUCAUUAGUCUUCCAUGAGCCGAGUACUGUCUUUGUUACAAAGUUUCGUUUCUUCCGUACGUUACACGACGAAUCGUCAGUAUGCAACUGGAGUGCUUGAACGAUCGACCGUGCUAGAAACAAUAAACCGAUGUUGAUGUUUUAUGUAACGCGGUUUGGUAACUGAAGCUGCAUUGCGCAAGCGAGCGAAAACGGAGACAUUAUAAGAUAUGUCAUGAAAAUUAUAUCUCCUUCCUCAGUGAUAACAAUACCGCGCGAAGAAAACGGAGUACAUUUCGAAGGUCGCACGUUCAACUAUCUAUCCGGAUAGAACGCUUGGUAUCCAUAAGAAAUUGCUAAACACGAGAUCAAGUGUAAAACCAGAUAAGUCCGAAUCUUAUAUAAGCACUUAUACUGGAAAAGAAGAGUAGAUAUAGUAGCUGAGUAUUUAUUUUGAUACGAAUUUAUUCACUUUUGAUACAUUGCAUUUGAAAUUUGAUUUAUUGUAUGUAUAUUGCUAUUAUAAAAAAAAAAAAUUGAUAAGUAUAUCUUGUUAAUAUAAACAUUUUUAACUUAAAUUUUAUUAUUGUGUGUAUAUUGUAUUAAUAAAAAAAUUAUACAAUAUACUAUUUCAAACUUGAUUUACUUUAUUUAUUUAUCCAUCUAUUUAAUAGUUGAAUAAUGUUAAUAUAUUGCUAAGGUGAAUAAGCCGGCGAAAUAAGAAAUUUUAAAAGCUAUUUAAAGUAUAGUGAACAUAAGGAAUUGUUAUUCCUUAAAAAUGAAUAUAUUUAAGAUAUUAAACUUGAUCCUAUUCUGGAAAUCUAGUGCGUUCAAAUUAGAUUAUUCAAAUGAUUUAACGUCGACCUCGAUUUCAUAAGUAUGAAAGCGAAAGUCAUGACAAGGAGAAAUAAUUAUUCUGUUAUAUGUUGAAGAAACUACUUGAAAGACAAAACGCAGACAAUAAUUGCAUUUAUCUACGAACGGAAAACGAAAUAACGCAUUUGAAUUCACACUGGAUCGUAACCGUUACGAGUGAUCAGAUAAUACACAAUACGCAGUACGACCAUGAUACCGGAAUUAUUUUUGUUUUCUUUUUUCUGCUAAUAUAUACAGGCACAUGAAACGCGUUUCGCGAAACUCCAAGAGAAGUGCACGAUAAUGCCCGAGCGAAUUGUGGGAAAGACCAUUCGUGCUCGUAGUUGGAUUCCUUAUUUCGUGGAUAACGGACCGAGACUCGCUACUUUGCUGGCAAAUUUUUUUUUCGUUUCGUUUGAUAAGAAGAGGAAAGAGAGAGAAAGGGAGAGAAAGAAAGAGAGAAAGAGAGAGAGAGAGAGAGAGAGAGAGAGAGAGAGAAACAAAAAAAAAAAGAGAAAAGAUCGUUCAUUCAAAACGACAGAAACUUCGAAGAAACACGAAGUAGCUCGUUAUCGUUCCAUAAAAACAUUUCAAAGUAGAGGAUUAUCCAUUGAAAUCGAUAUUUACUCGAUAAUAAAGAAAAGCUGAGGAUGUAGCUGAAAAGAUGUUUUCCAUAGUAGCGAUCGAACGAUAGCAAAUGAGAGCCAAUGGAUUGGAAGAAGGAAGUGACAAAACGAGAUGGCAAAGUUCGCAAAGAAAGUGAAAGAGAGACCCGUUGAAUUCUCGAGCGCGUACAAAGUCACGAAAUUGUUCACCAAAGUUUGUAGAUUUCUGCCAAUGAUUUUAUUCCGGUUAAACUAAACCGGCUAACCGACUGCCGCGUAACACGAGACGGCUUGUAAUCAAAGUCAAAUAGGGCAAAAAUCGUUCCCUUGGAAGCACGAUAAUGUCGCUGUGAUUCAUAGUCGGGUAUAUAUUUGUUUGCCGUGUAAGAGAGGCGAGAUUUCUUCCAGAGAAUUUGUUGAUGCACCUACCGUUGUCGUUAGUGGAUGGAGAAUCUGUAGAGAAAUUGGAGAUGGAGGAAUCGAAGAAAAAGAGGAGAGAAAGAAGAAAAAGAGACAUCGAAGGUAAAAUCGAGCAAAAAGAGGAGAAACUUCUCUUCCUUUCGUUCUUCUCGUUCCUCUCGACUGAAAGGAUCCAGAUCUCUGAAGACCCUCGACCGGAGGACUCACGUUGUUUCUUCGAAUCACACUCGAAACACUCGAGAAUCAUAACGGAGUUCCCCAAUUUAUCAUAUAGAAUGCUGUACAAUCGAACACUGUAUUCUUGACUUCUUAGAUAUCCGUAAGGAAAGUUUCGUAGAAUAUACUAACGAGAAAAUGCGGACAUUUCGAUCUUAUCAUGUAACUAGAAGCAUUAUUAACGCUUCUCUCUCUCUCUCUCUCUCUCUCUCUGUUUUCUCAAAUAUCCAGCGAAAUAACGAACUUCGAAUCUUAAAUCUCACGACACUUCGCGAGUUGCUGUUUCUGUAGUUGGAGAAUACGAAUCAAAGAAAGAAAAAGGUAAGGAGAGAGAGAGAGAGAGAGAGAGAGAGAGAGAGAGAGAGAGAGGAAGAGGGAGAAAGAGAGAGAAGAGAGAUAGUCACGUAUGGAAAUCUUAGUAAGUGAGCUAAACUUGGAUCGAGUCCAACUAGUAGUAAACAUCUUGACAUCUAUAUCUGCGCCCGCCUAAAUUGCGUUUCGACCAUCUUCCUAUUCUUUUCCGUUGUCCUUACUCGCUAGACAGUUCGCCUUGGAACGAAAUCGGGAUUUUCAUUUGAUUUCUUUUUUCAUCUCUUCGUUUUUGCCCCUUCUACCACAUUCAUAAGUAUGUACUAUACAGAGCUCAGAAGUUUGCCCUCGGGACAGCAUAAGGACAAGAGAAGAUUUUCUAUCGCUCCGCCUAUCCCCACUUUCCUCUCGAAGUACACAAAGUAUUCAGGAUUUUCACACACAUCAGUUUUCUACCAUUAUCGGCUUCACACAAACAAAUAUUAUCUGUAAUUUUAAAAGUGACAUUUCAGCAAUUAUUUAAAUAAAAUUUGAUUUUGAUUAGUUA